rnacentral:rRNA from 1 species
GAUGAACGCUGGCGGCGUGCCUAAUACAUGCAAGUCGAGCGAACGGACGAGAAGCUUGCUUCUCUGCUGUUAGCGGCGGACGGGUGAGUAACACGUGGAUAACCUACCUAUAAGACUGGGAUAACUUCGGGAAACCGGAGCUAAUACCGGAUAAUAUUUUGAACCGCAUGGUUCAAAAGUGAAAGACGGUCUUGCUGUCACUUAUAGAUGGAUCCGCGCUGCAUUAGCUAGUUGGUAAGGUAACGGCUUACCAAGGCAACGAUGCAUAGCCGACCUGAGAGGGUGAUCGGCCACACUGGAACUGAGACACGGUCCAGACUCCUACGGGAGGCAGCAGUAGGGAAUCUUCCACAAUGGGCGAAAGCCUGACGGAGCAACGCCGCGUGAGUGAUGAAGGUCUUCGGAUCGUAAAACUCUGUUAUUAGGGAAGAACAUAUGUGUAAGUAACUGUGCACAUCUUGACGGUACCUAAUCAGAAAGCCACGGCUAACUACGUG